ACUCCUACGGGAGGCAGCAGUGGGGAAUAUUGGACAAUGGGCGAAAGCCUGAUCCAGCAAUGCCGCGUGUGUGAAGAAGGUCUUCGGAUUGUAAAGCACUUUCGACGGGGACGAUGAUGACGGUACCCGUAGAAGAAGCCCCGGCUAACUUCGUGCCAGCAGCCGCGGUAAUACGAAGGGGGCCAGCGUUGCUYGGAAUAACUGGGCGUAAAGGGUUCGUAGGCGGUGUGGCAAGUCGGGAGUGAAAUCCUGAGGCUUAACUUCAGGACUGCUACCGAAACUGCCAUGCUCGAGUGCGGGAGAGGCGAGUGGAAUUGCAGGUGUAGCGGUGAAAUGCGUAGAUAUCUGCAGGAACACCAGUGGCGAAGGCGGCUCGCUGGACCGCAACUGACGCCGAGGAACGAAAGCUAGGGGAGCAAACAGGAUUAGAUACCCUGGUAGUCCUAGCCCUAAACUAUCAGAACUUGGGGUGAGCCCCUUUCGGGGUUCGUCCCGGAGCUAACGCGUUAAGUUCUGCGCCUGGGGAGUACGGUCGCAAGAUUAAAACUCAAAUGAAUUGACG
rnacentral:rRNA from 1 species